AAAAGCGGGCGGGCGUGCUUCCACAUGCAAGUCGAACGAUGAACCACUUCGGUGGGGAUUAGUGGCGAACGGGUGAGUAACACGUGGGCAAUCUGCCCUUCACUCUGGGACAAGCCCUGGAAACGGGGUCUAAUACCGGAUAACACUCCCACUCUCCUGAGUGGGGGUUAAAAGCUCCGGCGGUGAAGGAUGAGCCCGCGGCCUAUCAGCUUGUUGGUGAGGUAAUGGCUCACCAAGGCGACGACGGGUAGCCGGSCUGAKAGGGCGACCGGCCACACUGGGACUGAGACACGGCCYAGACUCCUACGGGAGGCARCAGUGGGGAAUAUUGCACAAUGGGCGAAAGCCUGAUGCAGCGACGCCGCGUGAGGGAUGACGGCCUUCGGGUUGUAAACCUCUUUCAGCAGGGAAGAAGCGAAAAGUGACGGUACCUGCAGAAGAAGCGCCGGCUAACUACGUGYCCMKCAGCCGCGGUAAUACGUAGGGCGCAAGCGUUGUCCGGAAUUAUUGGWCGUAAARAGCUCGUAGGCGGCUUGUCACGUCGGGUGUGAAAGCUCCGGGGCCUUAACCCCCGGGUUCUGCCAUUCUGAUACGGGCUAUCUAAGAGUUGUGGUAAGAGGGAGAUCGGAAAUUCCUGGU
rnacentral:rRNA from 1 species